GUGUUGGAUUAGCUCAAUGGAUAGAGCUUAGGUCUUGUGACCAUAAGGUCUCAGGUUCGAAUCUCGCCAGAGGCG
rnacentral:tRNA from 1 species